rnacentral:rRNA from 1 species
UACGUAGGGGGGCGAGCGUUGUCCGGAUUUAUUGGGCGUAAAGAGCGUGUAGGCGGCCAGGUAGGUCUGCUGUGAAAACUCGAGGCUCAACCUCGAGACGUCGGCGGAAACCAUCUGGCUAGAGUCCGGAAGAGGAGAGUGGAAUUCCUGGUGUAGCGGUGAAAUGCGUAGAGAUCAGCAGGAACACCCGUGGCGAAGGCGGCCCCCUGGGCCGUACCUGACGCUGAGGCGCGAAGGCUAGGGGAGCGAACGGG